UGGGGCUGKCUUUUCACUCUCCCUCCCUUACAUUYUGCUWRGGAGGGACACGCUUGUUGCCGGCUGCCUGUGUGGUUUUACCCCUGCGGGGAUCGCAAGUCGUGACUUACUCCAAGCUUGCCCCGCCGACAUGUUGUCRUGGGGGCAGUCRGAAUGUGGGCGGAAUCCUUGUGUCGUCUGAGGGCCAAUGACCCCAUGCGGCACUCUGAUCCUGCCGGCUCUCAUGGAUGCGGUGCCAAAUGAARGUUCUGCGGGCCUCCGGUCCCAGAUUUCCUCGGGAGGUCCCUUGCACGGAUCGUUGCACCGCCGCUUCGCCCUUCUACGGGUGUCGGAGCGGKGUGUGCUCCUGUGCAUGCGAGAUGUCUCUCCGUUCUAGUGAGCGACUGMCGGUUCGGGUUGCGCGGAUGGCCUCCCUUGCCGGGUGUGCCGAAGCGUCGUGCCGGCUCUCGUUUAGGAUGUGCUACCUGGUUGAUCCUGCCAGUAGUCAU
rnacentral:misc_RNA from 1 species